rnacentral:rRNA from 1 species
GGAAGUAAAAGUCGUAACAAGGUUUCCGUAGGUGAACCUGCGGAAGGAUCAUUACUGAAAAACUCUUUCAAGUUUUUUAUAUCCCAUUGUUUACUUACCCUGUUGCUUCCACUGGACAGAUUUCAUCUUGUGUGGAAUCUUUUGGCUUGUGUGAAUAAUACUCGCCAAAGAGUUGCCAGUGGCUAGACCUUUUUUUAACCAAAACUUGAUUAAAACACAUUGUCUGAAUAUAUUUCUUGAAUGAAACAAAACUUUCAACAACGGAUCUCUAGGCUCUUGCAUCGAUGAAGAACGCAGUGAAAUGCGAUAAGUAAUGUGAAUUGCAGAAUCUCGUGAAUCAUCGAAUCUUUGAACGCACAUUGCGCCCUAUGGUAUUCCGUAGGGCAUGCCUGUCUGAGCGUCAGCUCCCCCUCACUCAAGUAUUUCUUUAUGUUAUACUUGGAUUGUUUUGGAGACGUAACUAGUUAAUAGUUGCCCUCCAGAAAUUCAUAGGCAGUAUGGUUUGCACUUGAACCAGACGUAAUAAUAAUAAAAUCGUUUGUUUGGGUAUGACUGUACUUGCCUUAACCCCACCCAUUUUUUACUUUGGGUGACCUCAGAUCAGGKAGGGAUACCCGCUGAACUUAAGCAUAUCAAUAAGCGGA